UUCUUGGUAGUCCAGUGGCUAAGACUCUGCAUUCCUGAUGCAGGGGCCCUGGGUUCAAUCCCUGGUUGGGGAU
rnacentral:tRNA from 1 species